rnacentral:tRNA from 1 species
GUUAAUGUAGCAAAUUCAG